GACGAACGCUAGCGGCGUGCUUAACACAUGCAAGUCGAACGGAAAGGCCCUGCUUUUGUGGGGUGCUCGAGUGGCGAACGGGUGAGUAACACGUGAGUAACCUGCCCUUGACUUUGGGAUAACUUCAGGAAACUGGGGCUAAUACCGGAUAGGAGCUCCUGCUGCAUGGUGGGGGUUGGAAAGUUUCGGCGGUUGGGGAUGGACUCGCGGCUUAUCAGCUUGUUGGUGGGGUAGUGGCUUACCAAGGCUUUGACGGGUAGCCGGCCUGAGAGGGUGACCGGCCACAUUGGGACUGAGAUACGGCCCAGACUCCUAUGGGAGGCAGCAGUGGGGAAUAUUGCACAAUGGGCGGAAGCCUGAUGCAGCAACGCCGCGUGCGGGAUGACGGCCUUCGGGUUGUAAACCGCUUUCGCCUGUGACGAAGCGUGAGUGACGGUAAUGGGUAAAGAAGCACCGGCUAACUACGUG
rnacentral:rRNA from 1 species